rnacentral:rRNA from 1 species
UACAGAGGUCUCAAGCGUUGUUCGGAUUCAUUGGGCGUAAAGGGUGCGUAGGCGGCGCGGUAAGUCGGGUGUGAAAUCUCGGAGCUUAACUCCGAAACUGCAUUCGAUACUGCCGUGCUUGAGGACUGGAGAGGAGACUGGAAUUUACGGUGUAGCAGUGAAAUGCGUAGAUAUCGUAAGGAAGACCAGUGGCGAAGGCGAGUCUCUGGACAGUUACCGACGCUGAGGCACGAAGGUCAGGGGAGCAAACGGG